ACGUCAAUGAGCAAAGGUAUUAACUUUACUCCCUUCCUCCCCGCUGAAAGUACUUUACAACCCGAAGGCCUUCUUCAUACACGCGGCAUGGCUGCAUCAGGCUUGCGCCCAUUGUGCAAUAUUCCCCA
rnacentral:rRNA from 1 species